rnacentral:rRNA from 1 species
GACGAACGCUGGCGGCGUGGAUUAGGCAUGCAAGUCGAACGGUAUCAUCCUUUCGGGGGUGAGAGAGUGGCGAACUGGUGAGUAACACGUAGGUUAUCUACCCUCAAGACGGGGACAACCCAGGGAAACUUGGGCUAAUACCGGAUGUGAGCAACUUUUAGUUGUUUGAAAGGUGGCGUAAGCUGUCGCUUGGGGAUGAGCCUGCGUCCUAUUAGUUAGUUGGUGAGGUAACGGCUCACCUAGGCAAUGAUAGGUAGGCGGCCUUAACGGGUGGUCGCCCACACUGGGAUUGAGAUACGGCCCAGACUCCUACGGGAGGCAGCAGUCGAGAAUAGUCUACAAUGGUCGGAAGACUGAUAGUGCGACGCCGCGUGAACGAUGAAUCCCUUCGGGGUGUAAAGUUCUUUUAUAUGUGAGCAGUGCUUCUUAUAUUAACAGUAUGGGGAGAGAGAUAUUAGCAUAUGAAUAAGCAACGGCUAACUCCGUGCCAGCAGCCGCGUAAG